GGGGGAGGAGGUUGUCCCGGGCCCAGGUGAAUGGAGGAACCUGACAGUUGGGGGGAGUGAGGUGGCGGCGGCGGGGAAAUGGCGGCGGCAGCAGCACAAUGAGACGCGGCCUGUAGUGGGGGGAAGCGCCAGACUGAGUCCCGUCCGAGCAGAUGUGGCACAAAUUACCUGGAAAGAGUUUUGCUGGGAUAAGAGUGUGUUGGUGGCAGCAUGAAGACUGCUCUGCUCUCCAUCCGCUUCUCUGCUGCUUCAUGGAUGCCUUCAGAGACUCUGGAUUUGAUUGACCUCUGGAGAACUGUGUGUUCAGUCAGUCUGACCUGCUGGAAUUGGUCAUCUCCAGGGUACUGUGAGGAUAAAUGAGGGCAAGAAAGUACUCCUAAUGCAGUACUCAUCGCUAAGUGAAAGCACUGAAGUAUUUGUGGAGCUGCCCAGCAAAAAGAUGUCAAGAAAUGUUUCCAUAAUGUGUCUGCCAUUGAAACAGUCAUAAGAUGUCAAACACAGGAUUUUCCCAAAUUAAUUCAGAUUAGAAGAAUGAUGUGAUAACUGCAAAAGAUCAUGUGUGAAUAUGUAUUUUAUUUUUCUAAAUUCAAAAUGAGAGAGAUGUGUUCUGCUGCUUAUCUGAUUCUCUUGUAAUCUCCCAGCCUUUUUUGUCAAUGACCAGAAUUUCUGCAGUGAAUGUACGUGCUAGGCUGUCUGUCACUUUUUUGUGGGUCCUGAUGUGUCCAGAGUAGAAGGGCAGAAAGGGGAGAUUGUCCAGGCUCUGCUGAUGCUGCUGUCAGGGAGACCUCAAAGAAUUUGUCGGUUUUCUUUUUCAGAAAAUGCAGAACUAAUUAAAUAGUAAAACACCUCAGUUUUUGCGGAUGGUUGCUUGAUAUCAGCUGCUUAAUGUUGCUGUAAUUAAGAAAACUGUAAAAUGUCUACUGUUAUACUUCUGGUAAUUAAGUGAUAUUAGGCAUAGUGAUAGGUUGUUUGGCAGCUUCCCUGCAAACUACAGUUGAUGUGGUAAGAAGAGGACAGAAUUCUUUCUUUUGCUUCAUGUUUUCUGGUUUUUGGUGUACUAUGAUUAGAUAACCAGUGCCAUGGAGCUGGUAGUUGAGGUAAAGCAAAAUCUACAGUAAUAGUUUUAAAAAAGAGGCUCUGCUGUAACUAGUACAUUAGUGUUUUGUCCAGAAAAUGCAGUUCACAAUUAAUUGAAUUACAGAACUAUAGUUUAGUGUCAUGGGAGAGAGGAACUCCCCUCGACUGAUGGCUGUGGACUGGGAUCUCUCUGUCUUUCCAGUACAGUAUUGUGCCAGUUAUUCAGAGAUGGCCUGGAAUUGAAAGAAGCAUAGGAGUAUAUUAAUUCUGAGUAGUGCUCAGCAGGAAAGUUAAUUGGCAGGUGCAAUACUAUAUUAAUUUAGUUAUGUUGCUUCUAGAACCCAAGUUAGAGUCAGAAACCCUCAACUGCUCCAUCUACAGGGAUUUAACUCCUUUAAAACAUUAUUUCUCAUUCUUGGGUGAUUUUAGAUAAUAAUGUACAAAAUUGGAAUUGUUAAGCAAUAUUCCAUUAUCUUCUAACCUGCCUCAAUAAUCAUUAAAUGAGUGACGCAAUAUUUAGUAAACCACAAAUGCUUUGAAGUUUGGAGCCAUCCUUUCAUUUGCAUAGCUGGGAAUGCUUUUACUUAUAUGCCGAAGUAGCUUUCAAUCCAUUCUGAGAAACAAAGGGUAAAAAAUUAGAUGAUCUCCCCCCACCUCCCAUCCCCCCCCCCCCCUUUUUUUUUUUUCUUAAAUGGUGGCUGUAGCAAAACAGCUUACUACGGUUUCUGAAGCUUUUCUUACAUCAUUCAACAAGGAGGAACAACUUGGAUGCUUUUUCUAGCUACAUAGUCUGAGUACCCACUACUAUAUAUAUAUAGUGUGCAGAGUUAAUGUGAAAAAUUAGACUAAUGCUGUACUGGACUGAAGAUAUUCUUAACUGUAACGUAGACUUGGCAUUGGGCAAAAAUACCUAUUAAUAUACAUUCAGAGAAAUCCAUCAGGGUUACCUGUGUUAGCCCCAGUUAUUCUUUUUCUUCUUGCAUUCAUUCUGCUGCUGUGGAAGAUUGACAGAUGGUUGAAUCAGGAAUGGAUCUGUUUUCUGAUUUGUGCCUGUGCACUGGGAGUGUUACUGGUGCUUAGUUCCAUCAGUAUUGGAGCUAAGGGACCCUUAAGAAUGGGUUACUUCACAACUCUGGCAUGCAGGCUUUGCCCUUGUGCUAUCUUUCAUAGUUGAUCAGAAUGUGAAAAGCUUUCAAAGGCAAAAAAAGGCAUUAACAUUUGAAAUGUCUCCAUCAAUAUUUAGACAUUUGUGAUCCCACAUAUUAGGGAGAGGAAGCUGUUUUAUUUUGCAGGUCAUGAUUAUUUUAUUUUUUCAAAUUCAAUCAUUAUUCAAUAUGUAAACCUAAUCUUGAACCUAAGGCUUCCACUUAGGGCACCUGUGAAAAGUAAAGGUUUGUUUCUUAAAUGAAAACUUUAAGUUCUAUGGCACAAGUCGAAGUCCUUAAAUCUUUGCAAACCACUCCAGUUUUUCUUAACUAUAGUUCAGGACUGAGAAUACACAAAACAAGCAUUUCUCAUCACAUACUGUUAUUUUUUGCCACUUUACCUCAGAUAAGAGCUUCAGCUCUCUCAUCACUACCUUUUCCCCAAAGUAAAUUCUUAAAUAUAUUUGAAUCAGUUUCAGUGUGAUGUCAAUUGUUCUUGAAGGUCAACAGUGCUACAAAUUAUGUGUGAUAUGAAAAUACUGCAUAGAUCUUCUAGCUUUAUACUGUUGAAAUGUAGUAUUUAUGGCUUCUCACCAGUUUAAAAGCCCAGUCAGUAUACAAUGUGCUUUAUUGGACAAUGUUGAAAAAUGAAGAUUGAUCCAUUAAAAUAAAUAAGAAUUGUUAAUUGA